rnacentral:rRNA from 1 species
UACGAAGGGGGCUAGCGUUGCUCGGAAUCACUGGGCGUAAAGGGUGCGUAGGCGGGUCUUUAAGUCAGGGGUGAAAUCCUGGAGCUCAACUCCAGAACUGCCUUUGAUACUGAAGAUCUUGAGUUCGGGAGAGGUGAGUGGAACUGCGAGUGUAGAGGUGAAAUUCGUAGAUAUUCGCAAGAACACCAGUGGCGAAGGCGGCUCACUGGCCCGAUACUGACGCUGAUGCACAAAAGCGUGGGGAGCAAACAGG